AUCAUGAACAGUUUGGGGGGCCAGGACGUUUUGUAUGGCCUCCAGCUUGCUAGAUUGAGGUCUUAUUCCCUCUGAGCGGAUGGCAUGGCCCAGGUAAUCUACUUUGUCCUUAAAAAAGUUACACUUUUCCAUCUUAAGAGUCAGUUUGGCUUCCUUUAAGCGAUCCAGAAUUUGUUCUAAGUUAUCUGCGUGAUUAUAAAAUGUAUCGCCCAGGAUAAUUAUGUCAUCAAGGUACACCUGAACCUUGUUGCUUAAUAGUCCUGUAAGGACAGUGUUUAUUAUUUUCUUGCAGCAGGACGGGGCUGUUUUAAGGCCAAAGGGGAGGGAAGUAAAUUCCCAAUGUCCUGCUGGAGAAGAAAAUGCCGUCUUUUCUCUGCUGAUUUCAUCUUGGGGGAUUUGAUGGUAACCCUGUUUCAAGUCUAGGCAUGAAAAAAAAACUUACUAUCUCCCAAUUGAUUGAGUAUGGUAAUUAUAUUAGGGAGUGGGUACCGGUCGUCCCGUAGUGUUUUAUUAAGUGCCCGGAAGUCCAGACAAAGUCGUAGUACUCCAUGUUUUUUUGCACUGGGAUAAGUGGGGCAUUAUAGGGUGAUCGCGAAGGGCGAAUCACACCCUGUUGCUGGAGCGAUAUAAGUUGUUUAUUUACUCUGUCAUGAUAACUGAUAGGAAUGUUAUAUGAACGCCUGUACACUACUUCAUCAGUGUUUUGCUUGAUGGUGCUUAAAAAAAUAGAGCGUUGCUGUUAAUGGUUCUUGUUCUGUGGAAAACACUGUUAUAUAUUUAUCUAUUAAGGACUUUAAAACCUGAUUCUCUCUCUUCACUUGGGAAUUUAGCGUCAACAAUUUGAUAGAGGCUUUUCUUCCUUACUUCAAGCUCUGCGGGCUUCAAGUCAAGUCAAGUCUGUACACUAGAUACUUGUGGCAGAUCAGCGUAUAGCUCAUGAGUGACAGGCUUCACAAAUCCUAACGUUGUAUUAUCAUCUAUCUUUACACUCACUUUCAAUAUUCAAAUACGGCACAGUGACAUAAGAUCUUUGAUUGUCAGAUGAAGGGGUUAACUUAACUAUCCCUGAGCACAAGACUCUAGCCUGAGGAGUACUAACACAAGGCUCAAAUAAAGCUUCACUUGCCUGUAGUUGCGUCACUAGCGUUAUGUAACCUGCAACAGAUGCAUGCAGUUGCAAAGGUUCCGCUGCUUGGCAACGUACGGCCUUAUUUUCAGUGAGACCUUCUUCAUUUCCAUCUACAUUUAGCUAAGAUCCUUCACCUCUAGAUAUAAGACAUAUUUUUCCUGGCAUAAUUGUAUGGUUUCCCCUUCUAUUAUCAGUUUUAAGCUUCGUUCUUUUGUUCCUCAUUUAGUUGCAAUGUUUUCAAAAUAAUCUCGUGCUACACGACAAAUCAGUACUCAACAUAAUAUGAGUCGGCAAAUCUACAUCGCGUGUUAUCAAUAAGUCUUGGAAACUACUUUUUCCUUCCAUAUUAACUUGUCUUUUACCGUCAUUUUCAAUAUGGUAUCUUUGCACAGAGACAAUAUUCACGGGUUUCGCUUCACAGUUAUUUACUGCGAGCCCUAAUUCUUUAAUAAAUUCAUCCGUUAAAACUCACACACGCUCCUGUUUCUAGGAGUGCUGCCACUUUUGCAUAUGUAUUAUCAUGAGUAGUGCGAUCUGCCUAACAAAGUUACUCUUGAGUUAUGUUAAUUAUAGCCUUCUUUUCAUUAUUUUUAAGGUCACUCCCUUGUUCGUUAUAGCCUUCUUUUCCUUAUAUUUAUGUGAGGCGGUUACUCCCUUGUUCGUUAUAGCCUUCAUCUUAUUAUAUUAAAGGUUACUCCCUUGUUCGUUAUAGCCUUCAUCUUAUUAUAUUAAAGGUUACUCCCUUGUUCGUUAUAGCCUUCAUCUUAUUAUAUUAAAGGUUACUCCCUUGUUCGUUAUAGCCUUCAUCUUAUUAUAUUAAAGGUUACUCCCUUGUUCGUUAUAGCCUUCAUCUUAUUAUAUUAAAGGUUACUCCCUUGUUCGUUAUAGCCUUCAUCUUAUUAUAUUAAAGGUUACUCCCUUGUUCGUUAUAGCCUUCAUCUUAUUAUAUUAAAGGUUACUCCCUUGUUCGUUAUAGCCUUCAUCUUAUUAUAUUAAAGGUUACUCCCUUGUUCGUUAUAGCCUUCAUCUUAUUAUAUUAAAGGUUACUCCCUGUUUUGUUCUUCGCUCAUUUUCCGUUUCUUCCACUGCAAGUGUGCAUAUUUAUUUAUUUAUUUAUUAUUCAUUUAUUUAUUUAAUGUUAUUUGUAGUAGUUAACUGAGGGGGGCACUACCCUGGCCUCCUCUUCCUCUGAUUCUCUUACUUCACACAUUUAUCUUAAUACUUCACACUAUUGUCCAUAUGCUUCAUUUUUUUUAUUUUUGUAUUCUUGACUUUUUAUCCAUAGCUCACACUUUUCUUAGUAUUUCACAUUUUUUCUAGAUCAUACUCUACACUUCCUACCUGGGGGACGCGGGUUAGG